rnacentral:rRNA from 1 species
CUACCAAAAGCGAAAGCAGUUGAUUAGGCUAUACCCUUUGUGCCAACACGUAUAGAUCACACACGCACACAAUUUAUACGCUGUUACACUUUACAAUGAAGAACGAAGGUUGGGGGAUCAAAGAGGAUCAGAUACCCUCGUCGUAAUAUUAGUUACAUCAAACUAUGGGCUCUCAAUUGCUCAUUUAAAUCGAGCAUGCUUUUAUCCCUGACCUGCAAACUUUAGUCUGGCUCGAGCCUUCCCGCUCGCCAACUAUAUCAUUGCAUGGUCUCGUAUAGACAUGACUCACCUAAUAAGACGUGUUGACCAUUCUUGGUUUUUAACACUCGAAUAUAUGAACUCUGCGCUCAGUUAUAUACGGUGAGAUGUAAGUAGCAUAUGUUUGCUGGCUGCUGCGUAUCAACUUCGGUUGUUUCGUAGUUACGCUCGCAACAUUCUUACGCUAUGAAGCACGUGUUAGGUACGCGCUUACUGCAGAAAU